rnacentral:lncRNA from 1 species
AAAAAUGAAAUUUGGUCGAUAAAAUUUGUUUUUUGAAUAUAUGAGUGAUACACUUUUAUAGGGUUUUGAAAUAAGAUUACUCUUAAUUCCGAGACAGCAAUACAAUGAAUAGUGACAAAAAGUUCCAACUUUGUUCAAAAUCCUUUCUCAAUAUCAUAUAAAGUGCCAAUAGUACACUUGCCACUGUGACUAUUUUACAUUGUGACCUACAUUUUUCUAUUUUACAUUUGGAUUAAGAAUGGCACACAUUGUGUUUGCACUAUAAAUCAUUUUACAAAUAUAACCCCACCUCUAUUCCUUAUUUUACUUUUGCACAUAUUCAAAAUUCCACUUAAGGAAUCAUUAAUCAUUAAUAAGAAUAUUUGUAAAGCUUGUUUGUAUCUGUGUCAAAUUUGUUUGACACUUAAUGUUUAAUUUGGUCCAUAGUUUGAACCAAAAUAGAAUGUUUUAGAUCACCGAUGUGAAGUUCAUGUUCACCCAUUGGGAUUCUUCGAAUCCCAAACUCAUCGACAACAGAGAGGUGGUUACAAACAUGAACACCAACCUUAACACGUGUCUUUGAUCCAGCAGGAACAUAAGUCUUAUGAAAGUUCACCAAUUGUUUAACUCCAUUAGGUGGUUUUGAGAAUAUUAGAAGUGUGUGGGCUCCAUCCAUUGACCCUUCAUUUUUCACAUCCACAUGGAAACCUACUUCCAAUUCAUCACAUUUUGCAUGACUCACUUUUAUUGCUUUGUUAGUUGAGUUUGCGAAGGCUUGGGCCUGGAGGGAUACAUAAGGGACUGAGACUUGUUUGGGAGCAAGUGCUAAGGUAUGAGUGUAUCUUGAGUAACUUAGCCCAUGCCCAAAUGGGAACACUACUGGGCCCUUGUAGAAUCUAUAGGUUCUUCCUGGGUACCCUAUUGCCGGGUUUGGACGCAUGUCCAUGUUUGUCAUUGGCACUUUGCUCACAUAAUUUUGUGGGUACCAUGUAUUGGGUAACCUUCCUCCUGCAAUAAAAGCCCGAACAAAAAAGAGUCAAAUUAGAUGUAACAAAAGUGUUUGUUCUUCAUAAUUUCAUUCUAGUUGCUGCAAAAACAUAACAGGUGUUCAUUCUAAUAUUAUUCUUCAAUUAGAUUUUCUUACCUGG